GGGCAGUUAGCUCAGCGGUAGAGCGUUCGCCUCACACGCGAAAGGUCACAGGUUCAAGCCCUGUACUGCCCACCA
rnacentral:tRNA from 1 species